GACGAACGCUGGCGGCGUGCUUAACACAUGCAAGUCGAACGAAGUGGCGAACGGGUGAGUAACGCGUCAUCAACCUGCCCUUCAGAGGGGGACAACAGUUGGAAACGACUCCUAAUACCGCAUACUGAAGGAGGGGAUUGCGUCUGAUUAGCUAGUUGGAGGGGUAACGGCCCACCAAGGCGAUGAUCAGUAGCCGGGUGGAGAGGAUGAACGGCCACAUUGGGACUUAGACACGGCCCCGACGCCUACGGGAGGCAGCAGUGGGGAAUCUUCCGCAAUGGACGAAAGUCUGACGGAGCAACGCCGCGGGGGGGAUGACGGCCUUCGGGUUGUAAAGCUCUGUUAAUCGGGACGCGGUACCGGAAUAGAAAGCCACGGCUAACUACGUGCCAGCAGCCGCGGUAAUUC
rnacentral:rRNA from 1 species